GUGGGGAAUCUUCCGCAAUGGACGAAAGUCUGACGGAGCAACGCCGCGUGAGUGAAGAAGGUUUUCGGAUCGUAAAGCUCUUUCGUUAGGGACGAACGUGCUCUUUGUGAAUAAUGAGGAGUAAUGACGGUACCUAAAUAAGAAGCCACGGCUAACUACGUGCCAGCAGCCGCGGUAAUACGUAGGUGGCAAGCGUUGUCCGGAAUUAUUGGGCGUAAAGCGCGCGCAGGCGGGAUAUCAAGUCUGUCUUAAAAGUGCGAGGCUCAACCUCGUGAGGGGACAGAAACUGGUAUUCUUGAGUGUCGGAGAGGAAAGUGGAAUUCCAAGUGUAGCGGUGAAAUGCGUAGAGAUUUGGAAGAACACCAGUGGCGAAGGCGACUUUCUGGACGAUGUCUGACGCUGAGGCGCGAAAGCCAGGGGAGCGAACGGGAUUAGAUACCCUGGUAGUCC
rnacentral:rRNA from 1 species